rnacentral:rRNA from 1 species
AUACGGAGGGUGCAAGCGUUACUCGGAAUCACUGGGCGUAAAGCGCGCGCGGGCGGGCUGAUAAGUUGGAUGUGAAAGCCUACGGCUCAACCGUAGAACUGCAUCCAAAACUGUCAGUCUAGAGUGUGGGAGAGGAAGAUGGAAUUAGUUGUGUAGGGGUAAAAUCCGUAGAGAUAACUAGGAAUACCAAAAGCGAAGGCAAUCUUCUGGAACACUACUGACGCUGAGGCGCGAAAGCGUGGGGAGCAAACGGGAUUAGAAACCCCAGUAGUCC